rnacentral:rRNA from 1 species
CUACGGGUGGCUGCAGUGGGGAAUAUUGCACAAUGGGGGGAACCCUGAUGCAGCAACGCCGCGUGGAGGAUGACACAUUUCGGUGCGUAAACUCCUUUUAUAUAGGAAGAUAAUGACGGUACUAUAUGAAUAAGCACCGGCUAACUCCGUGCCAGCAGCCGCGGUAAUACGGAGGGUGCAAGCGUUACUCGGAAUCACUGGGCGUAAAGCGCGCGCAGGCGGCCUGAUAAGUUGGAUGUGAAAGCCUACGGCUUAACCGUAGAACUGCAUCCAAAACUAUCAGGCUAGAGUGUGGGAGAGGAAGAUGGAAUUAGUUGUGUAGGGGUAAAAUCCGUAGAGAUAACUAGGAAUACCAAAAGCGAAGGCAAUCUUCUGGAACACUACUGACGCUGAGGCGCGAAAGCGUGGGGAGCAAACAGGAUUAGAUACCCCGGUAGUC